rnacentral:rRNA from 1 species
AGCGAACGCUGGCGGCAGGCUUAACACAUGCAAGUCGAGCGGGCACUUCGGUGUCAGCGGCAGACGGGUGAGUAACACGUGGGAACGUACCCUUCGGUUCGGAAUAACGCUGGGAAACUAGCGCUAAUACCGGAUACGCCCUUUUGGGGAAAGGUUUACUGCCGAAGGAUCGGCCCGCGUCUGAUUAGCUAGUUGGUGGGGUAAUGGCCUACCAAGGCGACGAUCAGUAGCUGGUCUGAGAGGAUGAUCAGCCACACUGGGACUGAGACACGGCCCAGACUCCUACGGGAGGCAGCAGAGGGGAAUAGUGGACAAUGGGCGCAAGCCUGAUCCAGCCAUGCCGCGUGAGUGAUGAAGGCCUUAGGGUUGUAAAGCUCUUUUGUCCGGGACGAUAAUGACGGUACCGGAAGAAUAAGCCCCGGCUAACUUCGUG